AUAACGGCUGCUCGAGUGAUGGCCACUAUUACUGGGUUUAAAGCGUCCGUAGCUUGACUGUUAGGUCUCUUGGGAAAUCUUUUGGCUUAACCAAAAGGCGUCUAAGAGAUACCGGCAUUCUUGGAACUGGGAGAGGUAAGCCGUACUUCGGGGGUAGGAGUGAAAUCUUGUAAUCCUCGAGGGACGACCUAUGGCGAAGGCAGCUUACCAGAACAGCUUCGACAGUGAGGGACGAAAGCUGGGGGAGCAAACGGGAUUAGAUACCCCGGUAGUCCCAGCCGUAAACAAUGUGCGUUAGGUGUGUCGGUUACCACGCGUAACUGAUGCGCCGAAGAGAAAUCGUGAAACGCACCACCUGGGAAGUACGGUCGCAAGGCUGAAACUUAAAGGAAUUGGCGGGG
rnacentral:rRNA from 1 species